rnacentral:rRNA from 1 species
UCAGGAUGAACGCUGGCGGCGUGCUUAAUACAUGCAAGCGAACGGAAGACUAGAAAUAGGAAUAGUGGCGAACGGGUGAGUAACGCGUUGGUGACCUGCCCCGAAGAGGGGGAUAACAGCUCGAAAGGGCUGCUAAUACCCCAUGAGAUCUCUGCUGUUAGAGAGUAGAGAUGAAAGGAGCGAUCCGCGUUUGGGAGGGGCCUGCGUCCCAUCAGCUAGUUGGUAAGGUAAAAGCCUACCAAGGCGAAGACGGGUAGGGGGCCUGAGAGGGUGACCCCCCACACUGGCACUGAAACACGGGCCAGACACCUACGGGUGGCAGCAGGUAGGGAAUAUUGCACAAUGGGCGAAAGCCUUGAUGCAGCAACGCCGCGUGCGCGAAGAAGGCCUUCGGGUUGUAAAGCGCUUUCGGGGAGAAGAGGAAGGACAGUAUCCCCGGAAUAAGGCUCGGCUAACUACGUGCCAGCCGCCGC